rnacentral:lncRNA from 1 species
UUGGUGUAUGAUGCAACAAGUCUAGUACAUGACACAUAGGGUUAAUGAAAAAGCUGAUAACUAUGAUCUCAUGUCUAUAUGGUACUACUUUCCUCUAUUCGUGAUAUAUUAUUCCAUGUUACUUCUUCUAGCUUCUAGAAUUGAUACUAAUUAAAGUUGGAACAUAUCAAGAUUUUCCUUCUACUAUUUGAAAUUCUCUGUUAUUAACAAAUUCUUUUCAUAUUUUCUGGCAAUUUCUUGUAGAAAUUUGCUGCGUGCAUGCCAACUUUAUUAGGUACGGUGAAAGUGGCCGUGUUUCUGCAGAUGAGUCAUAUAUACUUGAAUUAUCUAUUUGAGUUCAGAGUUGGAUGAACGUGUAUAUAUUGGAAUAUAGUAAUGAAAAGAGUGGGUAAUUUAUCCUAAGAUAUAGGGCUAACUGUACUAGCGAAUGCCAAUUUUAGGAGGAGGAAAAUAAGGAAACAAAAAUAGACAGCAUGAAAAGAUCAGUUUCUGGCCUGGUGAUCAUGGAGCAUGAGCAUCAAAGACCACAGAUAUUUGAUAUAAUCAAGAAGGAGACAUUAAUUUUGACAAGGUGCAUGAACAUUCACAUUGAAGCAUAGCUC